rnacentral:rRNA from 1 species
GACAGAGGGGGCAAGCGUUGCUCGGAAUUACUGGGCGUAAAGGGCGCGUAGGCGGGAUGGCAAGUCGGUCGUGAAAUCCCUCGGCUCAACCGAGGAACGUCGAUCGAUACUGCUGUUCUUGAGGAUUGCAGAGGAGACUGGAAUUCCCGGUGUAGUGGUGAAAUGCGUAGAUAUCGGGAGGAACACCAGUGGCGAAGGCGACUACCUGGCCUGUUCUUGACGCUGAGGCGCGAAAGCUAGGGGAGCAAACGGG